UACGGGGGGGGCAAGCGUUGUUCGGAAUUACUGGGCGUAAAGGGCGCGCAGGCGGCCCUCCAAGUCAGGCGUGAAAGCCCCGGGCUCAACCCGGGAAUAGCGCUUGAGACUGGGGGGCUUGAGUUCGGGAGAGGAGAGUGGAAUUCCCAGUGUAGAGGUGAAAUUCGUAGAUAUUGGGAAGAACACCGGUGGCGAAGGCGGCUCUCUGGACCGACACUGACGCUGAGGCGCGAAAGCGUGGGGAGCAAACAGG
rnacentral:rRNA from 1 species